UGGCUUAGUUGGUUAAAGCACCGGUCUAGCGAAUACGGAGUCGUGGGUUCGAAUCCCAC
rnacentral:tRNA from 1 species